rnacentral:rRNA from 1 species
GCGUACGGGUGAGUAACACGUGGAUCAUCUACCUCUUGAUGGGGAAUAACCCUGGGAAACCGGGGCUAAUACCUGCAUAAGCCUGAAAAGGGGAAAGCAGCAAUGCGUCGAGAAGGAGGGAGUCCGCGGCCGAUUAGCUAGUUGGUAGGGUAAAGGCCUACCAAGGCAAUGAUCGGUAGCCGGCCUGAGAGGGCACACGGCCACACUGGCACUGAAACACGGGCCAGACUCCUACGGGAGGCAGCAGUGGGGAAUCUUGCACAAUUGGAGGAAACUCUGAUGCAGCGACGCCGCGUGAGUGAUGAAGCCCUUC